GUAUGUAUACAUUAAGUCUGGCUGCGCGCAAAUCUCGGAGGCGGAAAACACACGCUGAACAGAACAAAAUGGUGUGAGUAAUGGUGUGCUCAUGCUGUGCUGUGGGUUAUCAGAAAGAGCACACACAGAGAUCUAGUCUUUUAUAGAAUUCCUGCUAGUAAACACCCUUUCAGAAAAAAACGGCAAAAGUUAUGGUUACAAGCUUUAGACGUGAGAAUUGGUCUGAGGAGGCAAUUAAUACUGUUCGUCUUUGCAGUGCCCACUUCAUAUCUGGAAAAGCAUCCUUGGAACAUUGUAGUCCAGAUUUCGUUCCAUCUGUAUUUUCGUAUACAGCAGCUGUUUCACCAAGUGGACACUCAAAACUUGCAAGAUAUCAAUGCCGACCAUGAAGAUACUAUGACAGCUGCAGAAAGUUUCG